rnacentral:rRNA from 1 species
GACGAACGCUGGCGGCGUGCUUAACACAUGCAAGUCGAACGGAAAGGCCCUGCUCUUGUGGGGUGCUCGAGUGGCGAACGGGUGAGUAACACGUGAGUAACCUGCCCUUGACUUUGGGAUAACUUCAGGAAACUGGGGCUAAUACCGGAUAGGAGCUCCUGCUGCAUGGUGGGGGUUGGAAAGUUUCGGCGGUUGGGGAUGGACUCGCGGCUUAUCAGCUUGUUGGUGGGGUAGUGGCUUACCAAGGCUUUGACGGGUAGCCGGCCUGAGAGGGUGACCGGCCACAUUGGGACUGAGAUACGGACCAGACUCCAACGUGAGGCAGCAGUGGGGAAUAUUGCAGAAUGGGCGGAAGCCUGAUGCAGCAACGCCGCGUGCGUGAUGACGGCCUUCGGGUUGAAAACCGCUUUCGCCGGUGACGAAGCGUGAGUGACGGUAAUGGGUAAAGAAGCACCGGCUAACUACGUG